rnacentral:rRNA from 1 species
GACAGAGGGUGCAAACGUUGUUCGGAAUUACUGGGCGUAAAGGGCGCGUAGGCGGUCUUCUAAGUCUUGUGUGAAAUCCCUCGGCUCAACUGAGGAACUGCACGGGAUACUGGAAGACUUGAGUUCGGGAGAGGGAAGCGGAAUUCCGGGUGUAGCGGUGAAAUGCGUAGAUAUCCGGAGGAACACCGGUGGCGAAGGCGGCUUCCUGGGCCGAUCACUGACGCUGAGGCGCGAAAGCUAGGGGAGCAAACGGG